ACAAACGUACAAACGCUUCAGGGCUGGAGGACGCAUGUUCGGUCAAAUUAGACCUAAGAAGCAGAAAAUGGAGUUUAGGCUUUAAUAUUAUACGCCUCUACUGUUACUCUCAGUUCAGAGGCUCUGUCUGUGCGCUUCCAUGGCUUCCGUGUCCCUCUCUUCUCUGUGCCUGACGCAGAACCCUAAUUCUAUCAGUUUUAGCUCCAUAGCUUCUGAUCAUUUGAGGUUUGGUUCACCUACUGUUGAAUUCGGCUCCGUCAAGAAGUAUCGGAGAGAUAGAGCUGUCGUCUGCAGAGCUUCCUCGGUUGUCUUUCGCAACCUCGAUGCCGAUGACUUUCGGCACCCUCUCGAUAAACAGAACACGCUGAUUUUGAGGGCGAUUCCAGGAUUGAAUGAGCUUGGAAAGAUUCUUCUAGGAUCCGUUGCAGAGCAAGUCAUGCUUCUUGAGAAUAUUGGAACAUCCCUUCUUGUUUCUAAAGAUCAGCUUUCUGGUCUACAUCAAUUGAUGGUUGAGGCCGCGGAAAUCCUCAAUAUUGAUGCUCCUGAUCUAUAUGUUCGUCAAAGUCCUGUACCAAAUGCAUAUACUUUAGCAAUAAGUGGUAAAAAGCCAUUUGUUGUUGUUCAUACUAGCCUUGUGGAGCUUUUGACUCGAGAAGAGUUACAGGCUGUUUUGGCUCAUGAGUUGGGUCAUCUCAAAUGCGACCAUGGUGUAUGGCUUACAUUUGCAAAUAUUCUUACCCUUGGAGCUUAUACCAUACCUGGGCUUGGUGGGAUGAUUGCUCAGAGUUUAGAAGAACAGUUAUUUCGUUGGCUUCGAGCAGCAGAGCUAACUUGUGAUCGUGCAGCCCUUCUUGUUGCACAAGACCCAAAGGUGGUCAUCUCUGUUCUAAUGAAAUUAGCUGGGGGCUGCCCUUCUCUGGCUGAUCAACUAAAUGUGGAUGCAUUUUUGGAACAAGCUCGCUCCUAUGACAAAGCUUCUUCAAGCCCAGUAGGGUGGUAUAUAAGAAAUGCUCAAACGAGACAACUUUCACAUCCUCUGCCCGUUCUACGUGCUCGUGAAAUUGAUGAAUGGUCAAGAAGUCAAGACUACACAACUCUUCUGAAACGUGCAACACAGAUCACUGGUGCAAAGAAAGUUUUAAGAACACCAGGAAGAUAGUCAAAAACCAAAGCACUGUGAAAAGGCAGCCCUGCGUCUCACGGCAAAGAGCUACAGAGACAAAGAGGAUAUGCUAAGAGUUUUUUCUGCUGUAAAAGCCUUGCUGUAACUAAAUUCUGCAGAUUGAGGAUGCACGGGUCGUAACUCCUGGUCCAGGAUUGCCUGUUCCCCAUCCUCCACAUUCAAGCUCAGCAUCUGAUCAUCAAGCAAUGCCUGCUUCCAAUCCUCUACCUUCAGCCCCAUUAUUUGAUCAUCAAGCAAUGCCUGCUUCCAAUCGUCCACAUUCGAGCUCAGCUUCAGAUCAUCACGCAAUGCCUGCUUCGCAUCCUCUGCACUCAGGCUCAACUUCAGAUCAUCAAGCAAUGCCUGCUUCUCAUUCUCCGCAUUCAGGUUCAGCUUCAGAUGGCAAAAUCACCACAAUGGGAACACAGCGGACUCCUAUUCUGUGCGAAAGUGAGAAACCUACUCAACAAAAGCCAAUGUCUCGGAAGCAGCUAGGGGUUUAAUAUGGCAGACCAUAACAUAACAAAUAAUAAUUUUAAGUAAAUAAUCGACGACAUCCACUUGUAUUACACACGACAUGCAGUUUGAUGUCAAAAUCAUACCCAUAAGAACAAUAUGAACGUUUUUUGUUUGACAAUUAA